GCUAUGGAGGCAUGAUCAUAACAGAUAAGGAGAAAUUGAUUUCAGAACAGAAUAACAGAUAAGUAAACAGAAAUCCUGAUUGACCUCAGAUGGCUUUGGUAAACAGAAUAAACACAAAUAAAUGAUGAUUGAAAUUGUUCAGAUUGCUGAUGAGGAGCAGAGGGGGAAGUAUAAGGGCUCCAUUUGUUUUCUAGUUUCUGCUUUUUUUCAGAACUAGAAAUUGAUUAACUGCAAUAGCAUGUACCUUAAAAUUUUCACGCUUAAUGUUAUAUAAGUUGUUAUGAUGACCUCAGAUUUGAUUUGUUGCAUUAUAUUUAUCAUUAAAUUGCUAGCAUCUAAUUUGCAUUUGAAAGACCUUCUUCUAUGUAUUGUUCUACAAACCAAUUGUUGCAGUAGUUUUGAGGUGUUCUUCCAGAGGUGUAGUGAUUUGUGGUGAUUAGAACUUUUAUCACAAUUAAUUUAAUGUCUCAUGUAAAAAAAAGUCUUACAAUUAUUGCAUCAAUCUAUAGAAGCUUUUAAGAAAUGCAGCGAAUUUGCUGUAGAUUAUGCCUGAAAUUUGAUGAGUUAAUUAGGCCUCCUAACCUGUUAUCUUACCUUUCAUAAUUAAUACCAUAAUCAUAUUCAUCUAAACUCAAUUAUACAGAAGACAUUGUGUGAAUGUUUUUUUUUUUUUUUAAAUGAAACAAAACAUGGGCACAGUAAGACAGCUGUACACUCCUCAGGGUGCAAAUUCUUUAGCAACUGAUGCUGUAAUUAAGACAGAAAUUCCAUGUCUCUAGUGUUUAGGGAAAUUGCUUUUGUAUUUAUUAGAAAUUCUGGACAGCGUUGACCUAAUAACUACAGCCUCUAAUUACAAGGUCCAUACAUAUUUAAAAGCAAAGUGUCUCUCCUGAGUUCAGGGUAUGAAAAAUGUGUAGUCUGGUUGUUGGGGUGGGUAAUGUUUGAGGCUGGGAUGAUUGAGUCAGACCCAGAGAAACAUUUGAUUCUAAAAUGACUGAAAUAUUCUUUUUUUUUUCUUUUCUUUUUCACUUGAAUAGAAAGCUCAACCACAUUGCUGAGAUUGAGCUUAACUCUCGGUAUUCAAGGUAUUAUCCUGCAGAUUAAGAAAGUAAUCCUAAAAAUCUAGAGAAAAGAUGUAGUACUCAGUGUUACUUCUGUAUCAAAUCUUCUCAUCUGUAAAUUCUAGACCAAUCUGUUCUUACUAAUUAAGUUAGUUUUUCAGGACAUAUAUUUGCAGGUGGAUUUAAUAUUAUUACUUGAAAUAGUAUUAAAGAUACAGAUAUAGAAACACUGAGAAACUCUCUUUAAUCCUGAGAGGACUCUGUUCUGUUUCCCUUUUAGGCAACGUUAAGCAUCUGUUAUUUCUGAAUCUUCUCUGAGACCGCGUUCUUCAUCAUGUGCAAACACUAUUACUCUGCUGAACUUUUUCAAAGGCAAGGCAAAAGCCAUAGACUAUCAAAUGAAGUAGAGAUGCGGGGAAGAUUUUUCAGAUUCAAACAUGAGUGUUUGGGGUAUGUGAAUCUACUAAAUUUACCUCUAGGUACAGGUGCAGUAAAAAUGAGUGAUUUAGUUUAUUUAUAGACCAGAUGGUGCAUGGCUUUGUACAAAAUUGUAAUGGAUGUAGCGGAUUCUUUUGUAUGCAAUGAACAAUUUCUAUGAAAAGUUAGCCAUUUAAACAGUGUCUAUUUUAUUAGGAUUUCUGGAUAUAUGGUAACUUGCUUGGAGAGACACAAUAGUCUGGCAAUAACAGCACAGCAGCAUCUGAUACCCUUAUAAGAGCUCUUAUAUUCAACAGACCCAGACAGUGGAAAGUGUGUGGAAGGUGAAAGUGAUUUUGGAAGGUGAAAUUUUUGGAGACCUUAGAGAAAUAAGAAUAUUGAAAUGAAACUGCAAAAUUUUCAAAAGCUAUGACAAACCAAAGUCUGUAUCUAACCUAGUAUGUAACUAGGUGCAUUUGGAAGGUACUUUGGCUCUUCUUGGAUCUCAAAAUCAGUGUUACAGCAAUACAACUACAAUAAGGAUAACUUCAGAUCUUCUUGGUACUGCUGUAAAUGCUAGAAUAUGUCAUACAUUUUUUAAACAUAGAUCUCAUAUUUGCUUUCUGAUCCUUAGCGUGUAACCUGGCACCUAAUCCAUAGAGAAGGUGAAGUCCAUAGCUUAGAUACAGUACAGCAGUCACUUGCAGAGGAGUUCUCAGGACUCUCUAGGAAGCUUUUAGGAAUGGUCCCUUGAAUUAUCUUCUGAGUUUGAGCUUUAUGUUUUUAUUUACUCUGUGUGUUUCCGUUUCCAGCUGUUUUGCACCCUUUGCCACCACAAAUUAGUGCAUGAUGACAUCAUUGCUGAUACUUGUAAAGUGUGUGAUGGAAAAACUAAUGUCAGUAGAGCUUAUCUGUACUGCAACAAA